rnacentral:tRNA from 1 species
GGGAAGGUUGCUCAGUGGUAGAGCACUUGCCUUGCAUGCAUGAGGCCCUGGGUUCAAUUCUUUACUACCACA